rnacentral:tRNA from 2 species
GUACUCUUGACCGAUUAGUUAGGUACUUGUCUGCAAAACAAGGUAAAUUAGUGCAAUUCUAAUAGGGUACU